GACGAACGCUGGCGGCGUGCUUAACACAUGCAAGUCGUAUGGUAAGGCCCUUUCGGGGGUACACGAGUGGCGAACGGGUGAGUAACACGUGAGUAACCUGCCCACAACUUUGGGAUAACGCUAGGAAACUGGUGCUAAUACUGGAUAUGUGCUCCUGCUGCAUGGUGGGGGUUGGAAAGCUCCGGCGGUUGUGGAUGGACUCGCGGCCUAUCAGCUUGUUGGUGGGGUAGUGGCCUACCAAGGCGGCGACGGGUAGCCGGCCUGAGAGGGUGACCGGCCACAUUGGGACUGAGAUACGGCCCAGACUCCUACGGGAGGCAGCAGUGGGGAAUAUUGCACAAUGGGCGCAAGCCUGAUGCAGCAACGCCGCGUGCGGGAUGACGGCCUUCGGGUUGGAAACCGCUUUCAGCAGGGACGAAGCUUUUUGUGACGGUACCUGCAGAAGAAGCACCGGCUAACUACGUG
rnacentral:rRNA from 1 species